AAGGGACGGGAGUACUAGUUUACUAACCCAAAGACCAGAGGGUUGUUUCGUGUCAUGAAACACAAGUAUGAAAAGAGUAAUGUAAAUAUAUCCAUUAAGUUGCGACAUUUGCUUGAUAUAAUGCAAUUCAAUGAGGCUACGUACAACUACAUAUCUAUUACAUAUAUAAAUCCUGUUGCCUAUUUCUCAUGGAAAAAUCUAGUUUGUCCCUCUACAAAAUCUGUUAUUGUUGUAUUUUGCCAUUGGUCAGCAACUUUUUAUACGGUCAAAGCUUCUACAGCCCACGUGUCUCAACCCCAGCCAUAACUUUCUACUACUUCAUUUUCAAAUUUUAAGACAAAUCUCUCCUCUCCUCAAUUUUGAAUUCCUUUCAUUACCAACGUCUUGAGCUGCUGGCCAUUACUUCCUCUGUCUUCCUCGAGGUUCUUUCCUUGGCGAUUUUGGGCUGCUGCUCGAACUUACUCAUGGAGGAGAGAUGUUCAUAUGGAUUUAUUUUCUGUACAUUUCGGAGAAGUUCAUUUCCUUCUGUUUUAGGUCACCUUGCUUACAUAUUUAUUGCCUUUUUAAUUUGCUUAUUCAGAGUUCGGAGAUGUGUUUUAAGUUCAAAUCUCUUUCGGAGGAUUCUAUCCUCUCAAACGUUUGUAAGUUCUGUCCUGUAAUUAAAUAUACAUACUUAUAAUUAUACUCAUGUGUUCUAUUUCUGACCAUGUAAGUGUUGAUUUUAUUUCCAUGUAUGUUCUGUGCUUAUGUUGAAAUACAUGUGGUAUGCUUAUGUUUGGGUUAUUUCUUGACAGUUAAUUAAAGACAUUUUUAAACACAGUGCUGGACUAUUGUAAGUUCAAACAUGAUAUUAACACCAAAGUUUAAUAACCAUAUUGACAAGUUAAAUAAGUGUCUACCAAUGGAGAGUGAAGUCCCAGGAAAAAUAAUCUCAUUCAGGAUUUCAUCAAAAAUAGAAAUGUUCAGAGUAGACGGCACUUGGUAUUCAAAUAGCAUCAUUUCGAAGCCACUCAAAUCUGAGACACCUACUAUUUCACAUAGUUGACUCAAACCAGUCAAUUUCUUCUCAGCAGUACAAUAUGAGCCAUGAAAUGUCUUCCCAUUGCUGAUAACAUACAUAAUUUCCUCAGGCAAAGCAAAUUCACAUCGCGCCAAAAACUGUGCUGGUGGUUUCUAUGAAGAAUUAUAGUAACAAAUGUUGCAAAAACAGAGAUGAUAGGUAUGAGAUAAACAUAAUUCGAUGCCCCCAAACAUAACUUACUCUAUAUUUAAAGAUGCAGACAUCUGACUUAACACUUACAAUUUCAUCUACGUUACAAUCAAAGUCAGAUUGAAACUUCACGAACCUCCACCCAUCUUCGCCAAGAGUCACUGCCAUAGAUAAAAUAUUAUAUUAUGUUUGUAAGGUUAAAUAUAGUUCAUUUAUUUUAUAGUUUGCCAGUUAUGAAGUUAAUUACUCAAUGGAGGAUAACAGAGUUCAAUUUGACGAACUCUCUUGGGGUAGCGCAUUUCAGAACCAUUUGCACUCAAUAUAUGGGCAUUGAUGUGGUAUUGCCCAAAGUACUCAAAUACCAGCAGAUCACCCCCCCUCCCCCCCUUCAAUUCAAAAUUUAAGAAAAACACUAGAAAUCCACUUAACACCCCUCUACUCUUAUCCAGCUUAAGCGGCACUACAUAGCCAUUACGCAACCUCAUAUCAACUGUAUCAAGCAGCCUAUCACCGUACUUCGAAUGGAAAGCGGUUGGCAGAGUCUGUAUUUGCAGCAUUAAACCUAAUUACAAUGCAACUCUAUAGAACACACGGACAUUGAUGUAAAAGGAUUAGAUUUUACCAGGUCAUUCGAUUUGGUAUCGCUUGAGUUUAAUUUCCAGCAAAACUUCGCAGCUACAAGACCGGAUGAUUGCAUGACUAUGACAUAUAAUAAAAACAAUGUCAACACAAUAAUGAGCAAACUGAAGCAACAUUAUAACAGAUCCAUGUACAAAAGGCGAAAUUCAUGCAUACGAAUUCAAGAUCUUGAUUACCUGGGAACCAUAAGGAGGCAGAUUUUGUCAAAACUGAGCCCAGCAUCCUGCUUUAGAACAGAGUGUAUGGCCUUCUUCUUGAUGCACCAUUAUUACCACUAUUAAUUAAAGUCCACAGGUCAAUAGAAACUUUGUUGACCGCUAUGUUUUCAAUUAGUGGUUUAUAUGAUCUUUAAAAUUAUCAUAAUAAUUAAAUUGAGAUACUAUGCUUACAAUUAGUGGUUUAUAUUAUCUUUAAAAUAAUCAUAAUAAUUAAAUUGAAAUACAACAAAAUAUAAAAGAAUAAAAUAUAAUGCUUUUUCUCAUGGACUUCAAAAAUCACAAAAUAUCGGAUACACCACACAUUUCUUAAUUUAAUUAAAGAUUAUCAAAUUUUUUAUCAUGGAAUAUGUACGAGUCAUGUGAGAAAAUUAUUACUUUAGAAUAAACGUUACCGUUAUACAGUGUGCUUAUCUAUCCUACGCAUAAACGUUACUAUUAAUGUUGCUUAUGAACAGAAUUAUAAUACUGGCCAAUAUUUGUAUAGGUGAUGUACAUUUCAAACCAACAAUCUAACCAAAGAUUAUAAAGGACACUCGCUCAUUACUUUAAAGUCUUAAUAAAUUAUUUGAAAUGAAAAGAUUUUAAAUUCAUUAUAUAUGAUACAUUCCAUUAUAUGUGCUAUAAAGAAAAUGUUAAUUUUAAUGUUGCCUAUGGAAAGUAUCAUAAUACUGGCCAAAGUUCAAACCAAUAUCUUUUUACUGUGGAUGUUAUCUUUUUUUUUUGGUUUUUUAAAGUGUAUUCAGAUUUUUGGUCGUUCUACAUAGACUUUUUUAUUAUGGAGGGUUAUACUUCCUCCAAAAAAAUUUAUUAAGACAUUUCAAUUUCAUACGGUCAAUUUGGGUAGGUUUUGUCCAAAAUUAAUAAUCAAUCGCUCAUUAUUUUAAACAACUUCAAAUUACAUCUUAAAGUAGAUUACAAGUUAAUUAUAUCUUAAAGUAGAUUACAUCUUAAAUUACACCAAAUUAACUAAUGCUUUUUUGAGAUUAAUUAAAAAUUAUAGCAAAUAUAUUGUCCAAAUUAAAGUUAAUAAUGAAUGACAUCAAACAAUGUAUUAUUGUGUGUCUGAAAUUCUUAUCUGCAGUACUGUACGAACCUUAUCUUUACUACACAUUUACCUCACACCACACACUACAACCUUAGAUCUGACAGCAGUGAGCUUCGGUACCCCCAACUACCAUCUUAUUCAUUAAUCAAGCUGACAAGCGAAUCAUGGGUUUCAUCGAACAUGAUGCCCUCUCCGAUUUGAACGAGUCACGAUACGACUGGACCAUCUGCGUUAGGGCACAAGCGAUUUUGGAAGGAAUUAAUAAUAAAAAGAAUGAAUUUCGUGGCCUGAAUAUAUAUCAUCUUUGUUGAUGACUCUAAUGAUAGGAUUCAUGCUUUCAUCGCUCCUGCAUUAAGCGAGAAGUUUAAGACCGAUCUAAAAGAAGGAUUGAUUUAUGAAAUAUCAAACUUUUCGGUAAAACAGUAUCGUGGUGACGAAACAAGGAGAGCAGUUAAGAAUGUGAAACAUAUUUACUUCAACAAUGAUACUAGCUGCAACAAAAUUUCUGAAACUUCUUUGACAAUUCAGCCUCUAAGCUUUGAUUUCCAUUGUUUGGAUGUCG